GUGCCAGCCGCCGCGGUAAUACAGAGGUCUCAAGCGUUGUUCGGAAUCACUGGGCGUAAAGGGUGCGUAGGUGGCGUGGUAAGUCAGAUGUGAAAGCCCAGGGCUCAACCCUGGAACUGCAUCCGAUACUGCCAUGCUAGAGAACUGAAGAGGAGUGUAGAAUUCUCGGUGUAGCAGUGAAAUGCGUAGAUAUCGAGAGGAAUACCAACGGCGAAGGCAGCACUCUGGGCAGUUUCUGACACUGAGGCACGAAGGCUAGGGGAGCAAACGGGAUUAGAUACCCCCGUAGUCC
rnacentral:rRNA from 1 species